rnacentral:ribozyme from 1 species
GCUACUCGAAAUUUUGCUUAGCGCUUUGUGGUGAGUAGCAGGCAACGCAGAUGAAGUACUGCGGCUGAAUGGCAAAG